rnacentral:rRNA from 1 species
UACGAAGGGGGCUAGCGUUGCUCGGAUUGACUGGGCGUAAAGGGCGCGUAGGCGGUUCGUACAGUCAGACGUGAAAUUCCUGGGCUCAACCUGGGGCUGCGUUUGAUACGUGCGGACUUGAGUGCGGAAGAGGGUCGUGGAAUUCCCAGUGUAGAGGUGAAAAUUCGUAGAUAUUGGGAAGAACACCGGUGGCGAAGGCGGCGACCUGGUCCGAUACUGACGCUGAGCGCGAAAGCGUGGGGAGCAAACAGG